GAGGAAGAAGAAGAAGAAGAAGGAGAGGGGGGAGAAUCGUCAGCCAUUUUUUUAAAAAACUUUUGUGUUUGUGGAAGAAACACAAAAUAUUUUCUCUCUUUUUUUUUCUCUUCUUUGCUU
rnacentral:ribozyme from 13 species